GCGGCACCUCUCCCUAGAAUUUUUCUCAUGCAUGCUCUCUUCCUUUUUAACAUCCCAAAACUAUAUCACAUCAAGUUAUUACAUGCCCCAUAUGGAUCCCACGUUUAAAUAGGAGAAGAGAUAGAGUUUUGGUAGGAGAUAAGAAUCCAAACUCCCUGGGACUCUAAAAAUUAUUGUUGCCCACCCUAUUUUCCUUUUGCACCC
rnacentral:lncRNA from 1 species